rnacentral:rRNA from 1 species
UGAUCCUGGCUCAGGAUUAACGCUGGCGGCGUGCAUAACACAUGCAAGUCGAACGAUGAAACUUAAAUGAUUUCUUCGGAAUGAACUUAAGUGGAUUAGUGGCGGACGGGUGAGUAACGCGUGAGUAACCUGCCUUACACAAGGGGAUAGCCGUUGGAAACGACGAAUAAUACCCUAUGAAACUAUCACUUCGCAUGAAGCGAUAGUCAAAGUGUUAGCGGUGUAAGAUGGACUUGCGUCUGAUUAGCUAGUUGGUGAGAAAAAAGCCCACCAAGGCAACGAUCAGUAGCCGGCUUGAGAGAGUGUACGGCCACAUUGGGACUGAGACACGGCCCAGACUCCUACGGGAGGCAGCAGUGGGGAAUUUUGCACAAUGGGGGAAACCCUGAUGCAGCGACGCCGCGUGAUUUAGAAGGCCUUCGGGUUGUAAAAAUCUUUUGUAUAGGAAGAAAAUGACAGUACUAUACGAAUAAGGUCCGGCUAAUUACGUGCCAGCAGCCGCGGUAAUACGUAAGGACCGAGCGUUGUCCGGAAUCAUUGGGCGUAAAGGGUACGUAGGCGGGUCAUUAAGUUAGAAGUCAAAGGCUAUAGCUCAACUAUAGUAAGCUUCUAAAACUGGAGACCUUGAGUAAUGGAAGGGAAAGUGGAAUUCCUAGUGUAGCGGUGGAAUGCGCAGAUAUUAGGAGGAGUACCGGUGGCGAAGGCGACUUUCUGGCCAUUAACUGACGCUGAGGUACGAAAGCGUGGGUAGCAAACAGGAUUAGAUACCCUGGUAGUCC